GUGUCAGCAGCCGCGGUAAAACGUAGGAGGCGAGCGUUAUCCGGAUUUACUGGGCGUAAAGCGCACGCAGGCGGUUCCGUUAGUCGGACGUGAAAGCUCCCGGCUUAACUGGGAGAGGCCGUUCGAUACUGCGGAACUUGAGGUUGGGAGAGGGGUGCGGAAUUCCCGGUGUAGUGGUGGAAUGCGUAGAUAUCGGGAGGAACACCUGUGGCGAAGGCGGCACCCUGGCCCACACCUGACGCUGAGGUGCGAAAGCGUGGGUAGCAAACAGGAUUAGAAACCCGCGUAGUCC
rnacentral:rRNA from 1 species